rnacentral:snRNA from 1 species
CAUUCUUCUCGGCCUCUUGGCUAAGAUCAAGUGUAGUAUCUGUUCUUAUCCGUUUGAUCACGGAUAUCCAGUCAUUGACUGGACCUGAUCAUAUUAUUAUUUGUUCGGGGUACGUUCGUCUGGCUUGCCAGGAGACGUACAUGUGUGACCUCGUGCUUGCACAACUGCGAGGUUGCACGCCCUCA